rnacentral:lncRNA from 1 species
UCCGCCUAUGGCCGCCAUCUUUACUAGGGGCAAGGCGCGCAGGCCGGGGCUCAGGUUUUUCCACGGCUUUGACCAGUCGAAAAAGGCUCUGCGAGAGCAGUUUUGUUUGGGUUCACGCCUUUAUUUUUCUUGACUGUGGGUUGUUUCUGAACUGGUCCCAGGGAUGUGGAUGGAGAGGGAAAGCUAAAUGCUCCGGCUGGCGCCCCGGGCAGAAUUGGUCACGGGGGAAAGAGAGCGCCUGAGGAGGGGUUUUGAUAGCGCCCUAAUAAAGCUGCUUGGUUUGCGUCCUGGGCUGGGCACCCGGGACAGGAUUCGAUUCCGUCUCUACCAGCAGAAAGGAGACUCGCUGUUUGGGCAUCUUGCUCGAGCUGCAGGGUCCUUCUGGAAAGCUCGCCCGAAUACGUCAUUUUUUGCUCACGCUGUGCACGAUCCCGCGGGCUCCUAAUGCGUUUUGUUUUAUUUUAACUGUGCUCCAAACGGCCGCGCUGGAAACUAUUUCUCUGCUCCAGAGAUAGGGGCAAAACAGUUCGCCCCACAGGCGUGCUACGAGAAUUGGAUUUUGGUUGUAUCAACUUAUUUGCCUUUUUAAAGCAAAUGUUUUGUGUGUGCAUCCGGUUUUCAUCCUUCUCUGAUGCCCACUCCCGCUACAAAAGAGAAUGUAAUUAUCCAAUAAAAGUCGUACUUCAGGACUUAGCCUCUUUUCUGUGGUGAAAGAAUGAAAAAAAAAAAAAGUUCCCUGGUUGGAUUAGAAUUCUGGAAAACGGAAAAGAGGUCAGGGUUGUUUUAGUUCAGUGCGUGGUGAUAUCUUGGUUUUAUUUGAGGUGCGUAGGUGCGCAUUCGGUGGAUCCUGGAUAUCCAAAGGUGAAUUUUGGAACGCCUUGGUUGUGGGUGUUGCCAUGGCUACUGGGAGAGGGGAGGCAGUGAA